UAGGGAAUCUUCCGCAAUGGACGAAAGUCUGACGGAGCAACGCCGCGUGAGUGAAGAAGGAUUUCGGUUCGUAAAACUCUGUUGUUAGGGAAGAAAAAAUGUAUAGUAACUAUAUACAAAAGAGACGGUACCUAACCAGAAAGCCACGGCUAACUACGUGCCAGCAGCCGCGGUAAUACGUAGGUGGCAAGCGUUGUCCGGAAUUAUUGGGCGUAAAGCGCGCGCAGGUGGUUUAGAAAGUCUGAUGUGAAAGCCCACGGCUCAACCGUGGAGAGUCAUUGGAAACUAAUAAACUUGAGUGCAGGAGAGAAAAGUGGAAUUCCUAGUGUAGCGAUGAAAUGCGUAGAGAUUAGGAGGAACACCGGUGGCGAAAGCGGCUUUUUGGCCUGCAACUGACACUGAGGCGCGAAAGCGUGGGGAGCAAACAGG
rnacentral:rRNA from 1 species